GUUCGAUUCAUCCAGAUUGAACACUGGCGGGAUGCACAUGCAAGUCGAACGGCAGCACGAACCGGUCUGGUGGCGAGUGGCGAACGGGUGAAGUAAUGUAUCGGAACGUGCCUAGUAGCGGGGGAUAUUAACUGCGCGAAAGCGUAGCCUAAUACCGCAUACGCCCUUCGGGGAAAGCGAGACGCUACGGGCCUCACUAUUAAGAGCGGCCAGAUAUCGGAUUAGCUGGUUGGUGGGGUAACGGCUCACCAAGGCGAUCCGUGAGCUGGUUUGAGGACGACCAGCCACACUGGGACUGAGACCUGGCCCAGACUCCUACGGGAGGCAGCAGUGAAUUUUGGACAAUGGGGAAACCCUGAUCAACCGCAUCGCGUACGAUGAAGGCCUUCGGUUAUCGCAUUUGGCAGGAAAAAACGGCACGGGAUAAUACCCCGUGCAACUGACGGUACCUGCAGAAUAAGCGCAAAAUAACUACGUUGCCAGCAGCCGCGAUAAUACGUAAGUGCAAGCGUUAAUCGGAAUUACUGGGCGUAAAGCGUGCGCAGGCGGUUCGGAAAGAAAGAUGUGAAAUCCCCAGAGCUUAACUUUGGAACUGCAUUUUUAACUACCGAGCUAGAGUGUGUCAGAGGGAGGUGGAAUUCCGCGUGUAGCAGUGAAAUGCGUAGAUAUGCGGAGGAACUUGCACCGAUGUGAAGGCAGCCUCCUGGGAUAACACUGACGCUCAUGCACGGCGUGGGGAGCAAACGGGAUUAGAUACUGGUAGUCCACGCCUAAACGAUGUCAACUAGCUGUUGGGGUAUUCAGACGCCCAUUGCGCAGCUAACGCGUGAAGUUGACCGCCUGGGGAGAGCUACGGUCGCAAGAUUAGAAACUCAAAGGAAUUGACGGGGACCCGCACAAGCGGUGGAUCGUCUGGAUUAAUUCGAUGCAACACGAAAAACCUUACCUACCCUUGACAUGCUCUGGAAUCCCGAAGAGAUUUGGGAGUGCUCGCAAAGAGAACCGGAACACAGGUGUGCUGCAUUAACUUGUCGUCAGCUCGUGUAUUGAGAUGUUGGGUUAAGUCCGCAACAGGCGCAACCCUUGUCAUUAGUUGCUACGAAAGGGCACGCCUAAUGCCAAGUUCUGGUGACAAACCGGAGGAAGGUGGGGAUGACGUCAGGUCCUCAUGGCCCAUAUGGGUAGGGCUUCACACGUCAUACAAUGGUCGGGACAGAGGUCGCCAACUUGCGAGGGAAUAAUCCCGAAACCCGAUCGUAGUCCGGAUCGCAGUCUGCAACUUCGACUGCGUGAAGUCCCGGAAAUCGCUAGUAAUCGCGGAUCAGCAUGUCGCGGUGAAUACGUUCCCGGGUCUUGUACCACACCGCCCGUCACACCAUGGGAGUGGGUUUCAGAAGUAGUUAGCCCUAACCGUAAGGGCGAUUACCACGGUAGGAUUCAUGACUGGGGUGAAGUCGUAACAAAGAUGG
rnacentral:rRNA from 1 species